AUUCCUCUGGAUCGAGAUAAAACGCAGAAAAGAUUGGUGGGUUAGGCUCAAGAUUGAAACCCGGAAAUGAGUCCGCAAGUGGGUUGAAAUAGGAUUGGAAACUGUUCUUUCUUCUUGCUUUCUUUUGGGUCGGGAAAGAAGGAAGAAGAUGCUGGUGUUUGGGACAGUGCUGUAGUUCCGCCGAAUCAGUUCAAAUCAAGCGAAUAAGCACAAAAGUUUUGUGAGUUGGACUGAGAUCGAAAACCCAGAAAAGAAGGGGGCGUGAAGGUCUUGAAGUUGAAUCAAAACUGGUCUUUUUACUUGCUUCUUUUUUGUUCUUUUGCACAUGGGGGUGGGAAUAAUUGGUAUUCCACGCGAGAUCGAUGAAGUUGAAAAGGUGUAGGAGCAGGACCAGAAGAGCAUGUACUGUCGCAUGGGUCUAUCACUUUAUGCAAAACUAGCAUUGCUAAUGCUUGUGAAUCUUGUGAAAAAAUAAAG